AUUUAAACUCACCCUUAUUGGGCCUUUCACUAAUGACCCCUUGAAUUGUCAAAAGCAGGCAGAGUUGAGACAUGACUUUGGGGUGAAGUGGCAGCAUAUUGUGUAACAAGGUGGGGAAAAAU
rnacentral:snoRNA from 1 species